GAUAGUGAAAAUGAAAUCUCUCAUAUAAUACUUGGGGAUAUGGCCCAAAAGUUUCUACCCAAUAACCGUAAAUUAUUGGACUAUGAGAGAAAGUAGAUGAACU
rnacentral:ncRNA from 2 species